UGGGGCGUCGCCAAGUGGUUUAAGGCACCGGACUUUGAAUCCGGCAUUCGUUGGUUCGAAUCCAUCCGCCCCAG
rnacentral:tRNA from 1 species